UACGAACGCUGGCGGCGUGCUUAACACAUGCAAGUCGAACGGUAAGGCCCUUCGGGGUACACGAGUGGCGAACGGGUGAGUAACACGUGGGUGAUCUGCCCUGCACUUCGGGAUAAGCCUGGGAAACUGGGUCUCAUACCGCAUAGGACCACUGCCUGCACGGGUGGCGGUGGAAUGCUUUUGCGGGGUGGGAUGGGCCCGCGGCCGAUGAGCUUGUUGGUGGGGGGAUGGCCUACCAAGGCGACGACGGGUAGCCGGCCAGAGAGAGUGACCGGCCACACUGGGACUGAGAUACGGCCCAGACUCCUACGGGAGGCAGCAGUGGGGAAUAUUGCACAAGGGGCGCAAGCCUGAUGCAGCGACGCCGCGUGAGGGAUGACGGCCUUCGGGUUGUAAACCUCUUUCAGCACCGACGAAGCGCAAGUGACGGUAGGUGCAGAAGAAGGACCGGCCAACUACGUGCCAGCCGCCGCAGUAAAAC
rnacentral:rRNA from 1 species